GAGACAACGCCUCACUCUGACCAUUUUACUCACCCUAGCAAAGCUGGUUAGUCUGUUUUCAUGUUAUCUAGAGCGUCGGUGACUGUAACCGUGCUGCUGACAACAAUUUAAUGACGUGUUUUUUUUGCCCGACACCGGCCAUAUUCAACGGGUGUUGAGCGUUUGUAAAUUCAUCAGUUAUUCUGCGCGCUGGCACAUUCAGACAAGAGUACUUUGAAAUCAGAGUAGAUGUUGGUUUAACCCAAAGCUACCGGAGGAUACCUAUGGCUAGCUGAGGGUUACUAUGGCUACCUGAUAGUUACUAUGGCUAGCUGAGGGUUACUAUGGCUACCUGAUAGUUACUAUGGCUACCUGAGGGUCACGCCACACUCAAACGUACGUGUGGCUCAAAGCACAGUGUUGCUAUUAUAUAAUAUUGUUUAAACGUGUGUAUUCUUUUUGUUGUUUUAUGUAUAAGACCUUUGCACUAAUAUUAACGUGUUCUUGUAUUUUUAGGCUUAUUAUCUUUUUUUGGUUUUGUUUGAAUGACAUUUCAUGUAUUCUUGGGGUUCUGUUCAAUCCGCAUUGUGGAAGUUCAGCUUUACAGCGUGAUUUAAUGAAUUUGUUCUUAACUUACUUGCCUAGUUUAAAUAAAGGUUAAAUAAAAUAAAAAAUGAUAUACAAAUAAAUACAUUUAAGACAAUGCUUUAGCGAAGACGGUAAAAGCUGCAUGUGUCGGCUCGAUUUGAAAUAACCUUUACAUUUCUAUCACUGUAUCUGUAACGCUUUUCAGCUUCCCAGAUUGAAUAGAGCCCCUUUGUAGGUCUUUUACAAGGCCUGUUGAACCUGUGAUGAAACCUGGAGGUCUGUGACAGUUUGUUUUUCGUACCAACCUUCUCAAGGCAACAGUCCACAAUGCACCACGUCAGAUGGACAUAUCAUAGUAGGAUGAAUCUUUCUAGCAUUUAUCUACAUGUUGUUCAGCGCCAGUAAUGACGUGUUGUACAUGAUCCUACUCUAUCUUUGGUACUUUACAUUCUAACUCAAUGCACAGGUAGACAGCUAGUACGGUAGUGUACAGGUAGACAGCUAGUACGGUAGUGUACAGGUAGACAACUGGUACAGUAGUGCACAGGUAGACAGCUGGUACAGUAGUGCACAGGUAGACAGCUGGUACGGUAGUGCACAGGUAGACAGCUGGUAUGGUAGUGUACAGGUAGACAACUGGUACAGUAGUGCACAGGUAGACAGCUGGUACGGUAGUGCACAGGUAGACAGCUGAUACAGUAGUGUAUUAGAAUGAACUCACGUGAAUCAUGUAUUGAUGAGGCUUUUCCUCUCCAUAUAUUCAUUAUUCCAAUAUGUUGUUCAGUACACCAUAAUGCACAUACAUUAGGCUCAAUUAUGCUUUUGCCCCACAACAAUGUUAUGAAUGACUUAAACUUAUUUUUCACAAUGUGAAUUUGUAAAUACUUUUUUUAAAUAUUUUUUUUUACAACUAACCAAAAUUGUAAUUGGAAAAUAUUAAGACAAAAGAAAAGUGGACUUUUGUAAGUACAGUAUAUAGCAAUUAUAUAGUGAUAUUCCCCCAAGGUACUGAUAUGGAACAUCCCCUAUCCUGACUUACAGAGUCUUAACAUAUCAUACAGUCAGUAGAGACAGUAUUCUGUGAUCUGAUUGGUUUAUAAAUGAUGCUCAUUGGUUUCCAUGUAAUUGACGGGGAGAUGAAGAAUGUGUUACGAUGAUAGUCACAUAUUAUUGUCACUUCUAUGGUUUUUAAAAACAGAUUUUGAUACUUAUUUUGUAUGAAAUAAAUGUGUACAGUGCAUUCCUUACA